AUGUAGUUGACGAGUCGCAAAUAGGACGAAACACACGUUCUGGAU
rnacentral:hammerhead_ribozyme from 1 species